CCAACUACAACAAAUAAUUAUAAAUAACCCCAAAAACACGACAUAAAACUAAACAAACCAUUUUUCCUCCUUAGUAUGGGCGACAGAAAAGGAACUAGUGGCGCUAUAGAUAAAGUACCGCAAGGGAAAGCUGA
rnacentral:rRNA from 1 species